GACGAACGCUGGCGGCGUGCUUAACACAUGCAAGUCGAACGGUGAAGCGCCUUCCUUUUUGGUUGGUGUGGAUGAGUGGCGAACGGGUGAGUAACACGUGAGUAACCUGCCCCCUUCUUCUGGAUAACCGCAUGAAAGUGUGGCUAAUACGGGAUAUUCUGGUUCUUUCGCAUGAUGGGUCUGGGACGGAUAUUGUUUCGGUGGGGGAUGCGCUCGCGGCCUAUCAGCUUGUUGGUGGGGUGAUGGCCUACCAAGGCGGUGACGGGUAGCCGGCCUGAGAGGGUGGCCGGUCAGAGUGGGAGUGAGACACGGUCGAGACUCAUACGGGAGGCAGCAGUGGGGAAUAUUGCACAAUGGGCGAAAGCCUGAUGCAGCGACGCCGCGUGAGGGAUGGAGGCCUUCGGGUUGUGAACCUCUUUCGGCAGUGAAGCAGGCCUGCCUGGUUUGUGGGUGGGUUGACGGUAGCUGGAUAAGAAGCGCCGGCUAACUACGUG
rnacentral:rRNA from 1 species